rnacentral:tRNA from 1 species
GGUCUCGUGGCUCAAGUAGUUGGAGCAUUGGCUGUUCUAAAGCCUUUCCCGGUUUGUCAUGGGUUCGAUUCCCACCAAGGCCG